rnacentral:rRNA from 1 species
GACGAACCGUGCGAACGUUAUUCGGAAUCACUGGGCUUAAAGAGCGUGUAGGCGGUCCGGUAAGUCCGCUGUGAAAGUCGGGGGCUCAACCCUCGAAUGCCGGUGGAUACUGUCGGGCUAGAGUGCGGAAGAGGCGAGUGGAAUUCCUGGUGUAGCGGCGAAAUGCGCAGAUAUCAGGAGGAACACCGGUGGCGAAGGCGGGUCUCUGGGCCGAUACUGACGCUGAGACGCGAAAGCGUGGGGGAGCGAACAGG